rnacentral:rRNA from 1 species
GACGAACGCUGGCGGCGUGCUUAACACAUGCAAGUCGAACGGAGCGAAUGAAAGCUUGCUUUUAUGAGCUUAGUGGCAAACGGGUGAGUAACACGUAGACAACCUGCCGACAGGAUGGGGACAACAUUCCGAAAGGAAUGCUAAUACCGAAUGAAGCGGAGGAGAGGCAUCUCUCUUCCGUGAAAGAUGGCCUCUGAAAAUGCUAUCACCUGUCGAUGGGUCUGCGUCUGAUUAGCUGGUUGGUGAGGUAACGGCUCACCAAGGCGACGAUCAGUAGCCGGUCUGAGAGGAUGAACGGCCACAUUGGGACUGAGACACGGCCCAGACUCCUACGGGAGGCAGCAGUGGGGAAUCUUCCGCAAUGGGCGCAAGCCUGACGGAGCAACGCCGCGUGAGUGAAGAAGGUCUUCGGAUCGUAAAGCUCUGUUGACGGGGACGAACGUGCGAAGGGUGAAUAAUCCUUUGUAA